CUACAGGCACCUGCCACCACGCCCAGAACAUUUAAGGAAGUUUCUGUUUUAAACCAGCCUUGGAGGGUUUUCAUGACAAGGAAUUGCACAUUGGAUGAUCAUUUCUACCUUUUGCAAUAACUACUUCUUAUUUGCAAGUUGUGUUUAAGUGAACAAAGGCAAGGACCAGAUUUGCCCGUCUUCUUUCAAGCAGAUGACUGAGUCAAUCCCACAUUACAUAUGAGGAAACUGAGAUCUAUUCAAGUUUUGCCAAGUCAGGAUCCAGUUCAGAAUCACCACUGCACUUAUUUCUCACGUCUCUUUCAUCUUCAGUCUGGAACAGUUCUUCAGUCUUUCCUUAACUUUCAUGACUUUACACUUCUAUUACAGGCCAAUUAUUUUGUAGAAUUUUCCUUAAUUUGAAUUUGUUGCUUUAGGAUUAGAUUCCAAUUAUGUAUUAUUGGCAGGAGCAUCAUAGAAGUGAUGCUGUGUUCUUCUUGCUAGACUAUCAGGAGGCACACGAUUGCAAUUUGUCCUAUUACUGAGGAUGUUCAUUUUGGUUACUUGAUUAAGGUGGCGCCUGCCAGAUUUUUCCACUGUGAAGUGACUUCCUUUUGUAACUAAUGAAUAAUUUGUG
ensembl:lncRNA novel transcript